AACGCACAUUGCACUCUCUGGUAUUCCGGAGAGUAUGCUUGUUUGAGUAUCAGUAAACACCUCAAAUCUCUUUCUUUGUGAAAGAGACUUGGACUUGAAUGAUCCCAACUCUUCUAGAGGCGGGCCAUUUGAAAUGCAGGUGCAGCUGGACUUCUCUUCUGAGCUAAAAGCAUAUUUAUUUAGACCCGUCAAACGGUUUAUUACUUUUUGCUGCAGCUAACAUAAAGGUUGAUUGUCCAAUAUGCUGACUGAUGCAGGAUUACCAAGUUUCGAAAGACUCUUGUAAACUCGAUCUCAAAUCAAGUAAGACUACCCGCUGAACUUAA
rnacentral:misc_RNA from 1 species